GUGGUGUACGGAAGUAACCGUUGGCCCUCUGUAGGCUAACUGUCAUAACGUUACCAACAAUGCCGCCGCAUUGUUGUGUUCCCAAAUGUACUUCUUCAAAAAGAAAGAAAUCCUAUACAGGUCAAACCUUCCAUCGUUUCCCCAAAGAUCCUGUACUUUGCCGUGAAUGGAUUCACAAAAUAAGAAGAGAUCCUGGUCGCCAUUUCAAGAUCCACGGGGACACAAAAGUAUGUUCAGAUCACUUCACAGAAGAGUCUUUUUUGAAGACCUUGGUUGGCAUGCGAAAGUUGAAGAAGGGUGCUGUUCCAACAUUGUUUGCCUGGACUUAUAGCACCGUGAGGCCUGCAAGGAGGUCUAUCGUCAGAGGAACUACAAGUCAUGCAACCACUGCAGUUGUUGAAGAGGAUGUCCAGCAGGUUGAUGUAAAUUCCAAUGAGUUAAGGUAAGUGACGUGUAUCUCUCUGAACAUAAUUUUUUCCCCUAUCU